GAUUCUGGCUCAGGAUGAACGCUAGCGACAGGCUAGCACAUGCAAGUCGAGGGGCAGCAUAAAAGUAGCAAUACUUGGUGGCGACCGGCGCACGGGUGAGUAACGCGUAUGCAACCUACCUAUCAGAGGGGAAUAACCCGGCGAAAGUCGGACUAAUACCGCAUAAAACAGGGACACCGCAUGGUGAUAUUUGUUAAAGAAAUUCGCUGAUAGAUGGGCAUGCGUUCCAUUAGGUAGUUGGUGAGGUAACGGCUCACCAAGCCGACGAUGGAUAGGGGAACUGAGAGGUUGGUCCCCCACACUGGUACUGAGACACGGACCAGACUCCUACGGGAGGCAGCAGUGAGGAAUAUUGGUCAAUGGGCGAGAGCCUGAACCAGCCAAGUCGCGUGAAGGAAGAAGGAUCUAUGGUUCGUAAACUUCUUUUGCAGGGGAAUAAAGUGCAGGACGUGUCCUGUUUUGUAUGUACCCUGAGAAUAAGGAUCGGCUAACUCCGUGCCAGCCGCCGC
rnacentral:rRNA from 1 species